CCCUUAGAUGUCCGGGGCCGCACGCGCGCUACACUGAAGGAAUCAGCGUGGCUUUCUCCCUGACCCGAAAGGGUUGGGAAACCCGUUGAAUCUCCUUCGUGAUAGGGAUUGGGGCUUGAAAUUGUUCCCCAUGAACGAGGAAUUCCCAGUAAGCGCGAGUCAUAAGCUCGCGUUGAUUACGUCCCUGCCCUUUGUACACACCGCCCGUCGCUACUACCGACUGAACGGUUUAGUGAGGGCCUCGGAUUGGUCUCGGCCCGCUCUUUACCGGGCGGCGCCGUUGGUCGAGAAGACGCUCGAACUUGAUCGUUUAGAGGAAGUAAAAGUCGUAACA
rnacentral:rRNA from 1 species